rnacentral:rRNA from 1 species
UACGUAGGGUCCGAGCGUUGUCCGGAAUUAUUGGGCAUAAAGGGCUCGUAGGCGGUUCGUCACGUCGGGAGUGAAAACUCGGAGCUUAACUCCGAGCCUGCUUCCGAUACGGGCAGACUAGAGGUAGGCAGGGGAGAGCGGAACUCCUGGUGUAGCGGUGGAAUGCGCAGAUAUCAGGAAGAACACCGGUGGCGAAGGCGGCUCUCUGGGCCUUACCUGACGCUGAGGAGCGAAAGCGUGGGUAGCGAACAGG